rnacentral:rRNA from 1 species
AUGCAACACCAAGACCUCAGCCCCCCGACCGUGCUUGGCCCCCAUCCACGCCAGCGAAUCGGCGCGGCUCGCCGGACGGCGGAUGCGCAAGAUCGGUGCCGUGCCGGUGACCUCAUGGUCGCGGGCGGCUAUGGCAGCUCGGCCGUCGUGGUCCGCUCAACGGCGCCCUCCUCGUGGUCGAACUCCACCUUCGUCGGCGCCAUCACUAAUGACCCGUGCAACGUCAGCGUGCUCGUGGUGGGCGGCCUCAUCGUCCCCUACGGCUUCGACAUCGCCGCGACCGUCUCCAACAGCCACCGGUCCCCCGCAGGCAACAUCACUCGCGUCCUCACCGAAGCCCGGGGGUUCAAUGUGGCCGCCUCCUUGCUCGAGGCCUCCGGCGUCACGGAUGACUUCGAGGCCGAUGAGCGCGGCGCCCGCAUCACCAUCUUUGCCCUCCUCGCGCAAGGCACCUCCCUGCACGCGACCAGCAAUGCGGGUGUAUGCACCCUCGACCCGUUCGAAGAAAUGCCGGACCACAACGGUCACAAUGAUGGCCCUGUACAUUGGAAUUAA